GAUUUCUGGCUUGAAACACUAAGCCGGCCACGGUUUCGUGUGUUAGUGCUUGGUGUUCUGGCCAUCCUUCCAAUCGCCAUCUACUUCUCUUCAUUGAUUAGUAGGUGGUAUUGGAUCUUUUACUUUGAAAAAAUUAGAGUGUUUCAAGCAGGCUAUUGCUAUGAAUACAUUAGCAUGGAAUAAUAAUUUAGGACUUUGCUCCUAUUUUAUUGGUUUCUAGGGGUAAAGUAAUGAUUGAUAGGGAUAGUUGGGGGUGCUAGUAUUCAUCGGCCAGAGGUGAAAUUCUUGGAUUCGAUGAAGACUAACUUAUGCGAAAGCAUU
rnacentral:rRNA from 1 species